GUCUACGGCCAUACCACCCUGAAAGCGCCCGGUCUCGUCUGAUCUCGGAAGCUAAGCAGGGAUGGGCUUGGUUAGUACCUGGAUGGGAGACCGCCUGGGAAUACCAGGUGUUGUAGGCU
ensembl:rRNA 5S_rRNA 5S ribosomal RNA